rnacentral:misc_RNA from 1 species
UCACAGCUUACGCUGGCAGUCUCAUUAGAGUCCUCAGCAUGACCUGUUAGUAACUAAUGAUGAGGGUUGCGCUCGUUAUGGCACUUAAGCCGACACCUCACGGCACGAGCUGACGACAACCAUGCAGCACCUUCACAUUUGCCAUUGCUGGCUAGCAUGUUUCCACACUACUCAAAUGCAAUUCAAGCCCGGGUAAGGUUCCUCGCGUAUCAUCGAAUUAAACCACAUGUUCCUCCGCUUGUGCGGGCCCCCGUCAAUUCCUUUGAGUUUCACCGUUGCCGGCGUACUCCCCAGGUGGAAUACUUAACGUUUUCACUGUACCACUUGCUGUGUAUCGCAAACAGUUAGUAUUCAUCGUUUACUGUGCGGACUAC